ensembl:lncRNA
AGGGGAUCUUCCUAACCCAGGGAUUGAACCCAGGUCUCCUGCAUUGCAGGCAGAUGCUUUAACCUCUGAGCCACCUAAAGAGGCCAGGGGCGGCGGCCGGGAGGAGCAACCCCAUGUCCGAGGAGCAGUGGCUGCACAGGCACAGGAGGGCCUAAAGGAGCUAUCCCACGUUGAAGGUCAGGAAGGGCAGCAGUGAGGAGAUACCACUCAUCCAAGGGGAUCUUCCCAACCCAGAGAUCGAACCAGGGUCUCCCUCAUUGGAGGCAGACACUUUAACCUCUGAGCCACCAGGAAAAUGGUCAUGUGAGGACACAGUGAGAAAGUCUGCAAACCAAGAAGAGGAUUCUCACUAGAAACCACCCCUGACAGUUCCUUGAUCUUGGACUUGUGGCCUCCAGAACUGUGAACAAAUAAAUUUCUCUUGUUUAAGACACCCAGUGUUCUCUGAGCUAUCUAUUGCAGUUUCAAGCAAUCUCCAAGGGAAGUGUUGACCUGAUACAAAUGGACUGCUAGAUAUUUCUCCUGCAAAGAUGGGUUUAUUCAAGAUCAGCAGAGGAUUGCAAUUUGGACUCUGCAAGCAACCCUGGCCAGCCACCAACCUGCAAGUCCCUGUAGGCAAGGGAUGGAGAACCCUUUUAAAGAGAGGAAAAGAAAGCUGGGCUGGCUACAGGAAACAGAGCCCAUGGGUUCUUGCCACGAAAGAAAAGACAUCUCUAUUCUUCCUGUUGGGCUCUGCUAUGAUUGCAGAGCAUAAGAGAUCUCCAUCUGGCAUACCAACUCUAUUUAACUGAUGUUUCUGUUUGUUAAAUUUUUACUGAAGUUUGUUA